GAUGAACGCUAGCGGGAGGCCUAACACAUGCAAGUCGAGCGGUAUUUCCCUUCGGGGAUUGAGAGCGGCGCACGGGUGAGUAACGCGUAUGCAACCUGCCCUUUACAGGGGAAUAGCCCGGAGAAAUCCGGAUUAAUGCCCCAUAGUACCAAGGAGCCGCAUGGUUUUUUGGUUAAAGCUCCGGCGGUAAAGGAUGGGCAUGUGUGACGAUUAGCUAGUUGGGGGGGUAACGGCCCACCAAGGCUACGAUGUCUAGGGGUUCUGAGAGGAUGAUCCCCCACACGGGUACUGAGACACGGGCCAGACGCCUCCGGGAGGCAGCAGUGAGGAAUAUUGGUCAAUGGGCGCAAGCCUGAACCAGCCAUCCCGCGUGAAGGACGACGGCCCUAUGGGUUGUAAACUUCUUUUGUACGGGAAGCACGUGCGCUAUGUAUAGCGUAUUGACGGUACCGUACGAAUAAGCAUCGGCUAACUCCGUGCCAGCCGCCGCCGUAACAC
rnacentral:rRNA from 1 species